AAUUCUCAACCCUCUUGGUUUUCUUUUGAAGGCUUAAGAGGGCUUGGACUUGGAGGUUCUUGCUGGCAGCACUUUGCGAUCAGCUCCUCUUAAAUGCAUUAGCGAGGUUCUCUUUGCUGACCUUUGGCGUGAUAAGUAUCUACGUCUUUGGUGUGGCUCUGCUGUUAGAACCUGCUUCUAAUUGUCUCUUUGCUGAGACAACUUGAGUCCUCUUUAUUGAGGCUCUAACUCACAC
rnacentral:misc_RNA from 1 species